UGUGGGAGCGAGCUUGCUCGCGAUAGCGGCGGGUCAGCCACAUUGAAGUUGACUGAUCUACCGCUAUCGCGAGCAAGCUCGCUCCCACA
rnacentral:misc_RNA from 1 species